AAUGAACGCUAGCGGCAGGCUUAAUACAUGCAAGUCGAGGGACAGCACAGGUAGCAAUACUGGGUGGUAACCGGCAAACGGGUGCGGAACACGUACACAACCUUCCUUUAAGUGGGGGAUAGCCCAGAGAAAUUUGGAUUAAUACCCCGUAAUAUAGUUGAAUGGCAUCAUUUGAUUAUUAUAGCUACGGCGCUUAAUGAUGGGUGUGCGGCUGAUUAGAUAGUUGGCGGGGUAACGGCCCACCAAGUCUACGAUCAGUAGCUGAUGUGAGAGCAUGAUCAGCCAAACGGGCACUGAGACACGGGCCCGACUUCUACGGGAGGCAGCAGUAAGGAAUAUUGGUCAAUGGACGCAAGUCUGAACCAGCCAUGCCGCGUGAGGGAUUAAGGUCCUCUGGAUUGUAAACUUCUUUUAUUUGGGACGAAAAAGGGCCUUUCUAGGUCAACUGACGGUACCAGAUGAAUAAGCACCGGCUAACUCCGUGCCAGCAGCCGCCGUAAUAC
rnacentral:rRNA from 1 species